rnacentral:rRNA from 1 species
AUUGAACGCUGGCGGCAUGCUUUACACAUGCAAGUCGAACGGUAACAGGCCUUCGGGUGCUGACGAGUGGCGAACGGGUGAGUAAUGCAUCGGAACAUACCCAGAGGUGGGGGAUAACGCAGCGAAAGCUGUGCUAAUACUGCAUGUGAUCUGAGGAUGAAAGCGGGGGACCGAGCAGCAAUGUUUGGCCUCGCGCCUUUGGAGCGGCCGAUGUCGGAUUAGCUAGUUGGUGGGGUAAAGGCCUACCAAGGCGACGAUCCGUAGCUGGUCUGAGAGGACGACCAGCCACACUGGGACUGAGACACGGCCCAGACUCCUACGGGAGGCAGCAGUGGGGAAUUUUGGACAAUGGGCGCAAGCCUGAUCCAGCAAUGCCGCGUGCGGGAAGAAGGCCUUCGGGUUGUAAACCGCUUUUGGCAGGAACGAAACGGUGUCCGCUAAUACCGGGCGCUAAUGACGGUACCUGCAGAAUAAGCACCGGCUAACUACGUG